rnacentral:rRNA from 1 species
GCAUCUGACCGGCCUUGAAGAGGCACUCCCUUCGGGGCAGAUGUGUAGGUGGCUGCAUGGUUGUCGUCAGCUCGUGCCGUGAGGUGUCGGCUUAAGUGCCAUAACGAGCGCAACCUCAUCAUAGUUACCAUCAGGUAAGGCUGGGGACUCUAAUGAGACUGCCAUCGUAAGAUGUGAGGAAGGUGGGGAUGACGUCAAAUCAGCACGGCCCUUACGUCCGGGGCGACACACGUGUUACAAUGGGUGGUACAAAGGGCAGCUACCUGGCGACAGGAUGCUAAUCUCGAAAACCGCUCUCAGUUCGGAUCGGAGUCUGCAACUCGACUCCGUGAAGCUGGAUUCGCUAGUAAUCGCGCAUCAGCCACGGCGCGGUGAAUACGUUCCCGGGCCUU